UUCUUAUAUAUAUAUAUACUUUUCAAAUGAUUUUUAUUACAUUUAUGGGUUUAAGUUUGGUAUCAACAUGUGUGGUUAAAGACAUUUUGUAUUUGUCUAAGGAUAUUUUUGACUUUACAUAAUAUUACAUCGCAACGUGUCAUUUAACUAAAAAUUGAGCAGCAUCGUACAGGCCACAACAAAGUAUUUGAAAAUUUCUUACUUCUCUCGGUGAUAGAAGUUGUGCACAUCUUCGUCUUUUUUCUGCCUCUAUUUGGUUGCAUUUCUCUCUGUUUUUCAAUUCUGAUAAAUUCAUUUUCUCUAUUUGUUUGCAAUUCAUAUUUUUCUUGAUAGAGAGAAGAGUUUUCUUUGUUCUUUCUUCCUUCAAUUUACAAGAGCAAGUUCAAAUUUGCGGGGAAGAGACUGAAGCUUCAAUUUUGGGCAAGAGGAUACUGAAGGUAGAGUGAUUCAUAUUGAAGACCUUGGCAAUUGGCAGGACUUCGUCUCCUAAUGUCGAGCGACACAGUCUAUUUCACAUCUAAAGGAGAAAUGGUUCUCGAAAAUAUUUUUCCCCUCCUCCUGAUACAAUAAAGUUACAUAUUGUAAAAGUUGAUAAUUGCGAACAACAUGCUACACUGUGGAAAGAUUGACUCAGAUGUCAUUUUGUGAUAUUAAAUUUCUUUAUCAUUGUUCGAAUUUAUUCUAAAGUAAUUGUGUCAAAAAGUUAAACGUUUGAGGUAUUUCUGUUAAGGAGAUUUAAGUGGAAUUUGAUGAUAUUCCUUUUGUUCACAGAUGCAUCUUAAAGACAUUUUUGUUAUACUUGAAAAAUAGGUAUUUGAGGAUUACUCUGUUAGCACUUUAGAUUAUAUCAAUAACCCCGACAUUCAGUAAUUUCCAAGUUUGUUUUUCUUUUACAAAAUUCGAGGUGACUUAAUUGAUGGUUUAUGUAUAUGCGUGUGAUGCCACCUAAAUAACAAGACUGGGCCACAAGAAUUACGUAAUUUUAUUUUUUCUAAAAGCAAAAAAAUUAUACAUGUUAAGAUCUUUUGUAUUUAUUUUCACUCUUUGUUGUGAUGACAUUUUCUUUUUGUAAAAUAUUGACACUGAAGUUGCAUAGCACUUGCAGAUGUUUGCCAAAAAUAUCCGUGCUACUAAAGUAAUUUUGUAUGACAAGUUUCUUAUUCAUUGUUAGAAUGUAAUCUUCUCCGGGUUAAAGACAUUGCUUCCUUGAAAGAUGUAUAAUUUGUAACGUGCAAGUAGCAAGAGAUGGCUAUAGUAUCAAAGUUGUGUUGUAGACAUUCGACCGCUCUGUCUUUGUUUGACAGGAAAAACCGAAUAAGUAUGGGACCUAUACUAGCAGCGGAUCAGCGAUAGAUGACUUAUGUGCAAAACUGAUGAGUUUUAGUUAUCACAUUUUUUUAAGAUAUUGUAUCUUAUUGGCAUGUUUAGUAAUGAAAAUAUGUAGACCAUUUUGUUUGAGAUAUGAUUCUCUAUUGAUGAUUGGUUCCAUUAGUUAAUAAAAAUAUUUCUUCGUUCUGA